AACGAACGCUGGCGGCAGGCCUAGCACAUGCAAGUCGAGCGAAGCCUUCGGGCUUAGCGGCGGACGGGUGAGUAACGCGUGGGAACGUGCCCUUUGGUACGGAAUAGCCCCGGGAAACUGGGAGUAAUACCGUAUGUGGUCGAGAGACGAAAGAUUUAUCGCCAAAGGAUCGGCCCGCGUUGGAUUAGGUAGUUGGUGGGGUAAUGGCCUACCAAGCCGACGAUCCAUAGCUGGUUUGAGAGGAUGAUCAGCCACACUGGGACUGAGACACGGCCCAGACUCCUACGGGAGACAGCAGUGGGGAAUCUUAGACAAUGGGGGUAACCCUGAUCUAGCCAUGCCGCGUGAUCGAUGAAGGCCUUAGGGUUGUAAAGAUCUUUCAGUGGGGAAGAUAAUGACUGUACCCACAGAAGAAGCCCCGGCUAACUCCGUGCCAGCCGCCGCGGUAAUAC
rnacentral:rRNA from 1 species